UACAGAGGGUGCGAGCGUUAAUCGGAAUUACUGGGCGUAAAGCGCACGUAGGCGGCUUGGUAUGUCGGGUGUGAAAUCCCCGGGCUCAACCUGGGAACUGCAUCCGAAACUGCCUUGCUCGAGUAUGGGAGAGGGAAGUGGAAUUUCCGGUGUAGCGGUGAAAUGCGUAGAUAUCGGAAGGAACAUCAGUGGCGAAGGCGACUUCCUGGACCAAUACUGACGCUCAGGUGCGAAAGCGUGGGGAGCAAACGGG
rnacentral:rRNA from 1 species